UGAGAGAGUGUUAGAUUGUUCACACUGGGGAUCAGUUACAGGAUCUACAUGUAACAUCAGCUUCCUCUCCACAUCCUACACUGGAGUUUACUGGUGUGAGUCUGAAUCUGGAGAAAACAGUAAUCCUGUCCACAUCACAGUGCAUGGUCCUAGUUCCAGUGGAACAUUCAAUGUUGUUAUAUUAGUACUGGCUGGGAGUUUGGGAUUUUUGUUCAUCGCUUUACUGAUCUUAUUGAUCCUGCUGUUGUCCAACAAAAGAAAAAAAGGUGAAGCUGCAGCUGAGAACAAUAAAGCCACUUACACACAGGUGAAAAAGAAAAAGAAGACAAACAGGAACAAUGCUUCUGCAGGAGCUGAUGCUGAUGUGACUUAUGCUGAGAUCCAAAUAAAACCAAAGAAAAAAGCAAAGAGAAUAAAAGAAAAGGCCAGUGUGGCUGAUGAUACUGUCUAUUCAGCAGUGAAGCACAACAUGGAGUGAGCCAUGUGUCUGUUCUGAUGAAGCUACAGUUAUCAAACAGAUAGAAGGGAAACCUAUAGAUAGAUAGAUAGAUAGAUAGAUAGAUAGAUAGAUAGAUAGAUAGAUAGAUAGAUAGAUAGAUAGAUAGAUAGAUAGAUAGAUAGAUAGAUAGAUAGAUAGAUAGCGUUAAAAAUCUCAAUGGAAAAUGCAUACAUUAAAGCUGCAGCAAAAGAAUAGCAUAUGCUAUAUGAAAUCGUCAAGAGUAAUAUAAUAAUGUAAUCUGUAAUAUAAUAAACAUUAAUAAAAAUAAAAUAAAUAUAACUGUAUACACCAGUGUUAGUUGCAACAACUGAUAUGCAGCACAGUAGAUAUGAUCAUCCACAAUAAGCUGCAUCAGUGUAAUUAUAUAGUGAUUAGCAGCAGUGCAGUAAACAGAAUCCCACCAACAGAAGCCCAAUGCACUUAUUUAAGGAACAGACACAAUAACAUCCUGGUACAGUGAUGAACUAUUCUCCUGUACCGGUCCUUGCUGCAGCUGUUUGACCAAUAUGAACAUUAAAGCAUCUGAGCUUCCUCAGAAAGUAGAGGCCACUCAUAAUAACUUUUUUACUAUUUUUAUACUCAUUCUGUAUAUAUACAUGUGGCACAUCUACAUAUUUUAAAGCAUUUAAAAAUAUAUAAUUCAUAAUAUAGUUUUAUUAAUGCACUUUUAACUGGAUACAUGCUAUACAAAUACAAGAAAAAUAAGGUCAGAAACGAGAGUCUAAAAUACAGAUUUUAAAUACAGACUCAUUCCACUGAAAGUACAUUAAUUUAUGUUUGUGGCUCAUUUACAUAUUUUAAUAAAAAUGUUUAUUUUUAUUUUUCUCAUAUACUUACACUUCAGUGCUUUUGGUCGGUUUUUGGAAACGUGAGUGAAGUCUGUAAGGCCGUCACUGUUUUCUUACACAGUGUACAAAACUUCACUGAUGAACGAAUUAAGAUGAAAGUAAAGUUGUCUGAGAUGAAGAAUUAUUUUCUUUUUUUGUCUUUUUAAAUUUUAUCUUGCAUUUGCAAAUUUUCUCUUCAUAUAUUUUUAUUGUUCAUAUUUACAUCUCUACAAAUGACUUGAUGCUUUGUAACUCAUCUCACUGUGUUCAUAAAUGUCCUGAUAUGACUUUGUACUUAAAUAACGUUUGUAUUAAAGUUUUAUGCAUGCACAAUACCU